UAGGGAAUAUUAGUAAUGGGCGAAAGCCUGAACUAGCAACACCGCGUGUGCGAAGAAGGCCUUCGGGUUGUAAAGCACUUUUUGAGAGGAUGAGGAAGGACGGUACUCUCAGAAUAAGUCUCGGCUAACUACGUGCCAGCAGCCGCGGUAACACGUAGGAGGCAAACGUUACCCGGAUUUACUGGGCGUAAAGCGCGUGUAGGUGGUUUGGUAAGUAGAGCGUGAAAGCUCCUGGCUCAACUGGGAGAGGUCGUUCUAAACUACAGAACUAGAGGAUGGUAGAGGGAGGUGGAAUUCCAGGUGUAGCGGUGGAAUGCGCAGAUAUCCGGAGGAACACCAGUGGCGAAAGCGGCCUCCUGGACCACUCCUGACACUCAGACGCGAAAGCUAGGGUAGCAAACG
rnacentral:rRNA from 1 species